GACGUAGGGCGCGAGCGUUGUCCGGAUUUAUUGGGCGUAAAGAGCUCGUAGGCGGCUUGUUGCGUCGACUGUGAAAACCCGCGGCUUAACUGCGGGCUUGCAGUUGAUACGGGCAGGCUAGAGUUCGGUAGGGGAGACUGGAAUUCCUGGUGUAGCGGUGAAAUGCGCAGAUAUCAGGAGGAACACCGGUGGCGAAGGCGGUCUCUGGCCGUAACUGACGCUGAGGAGCGAAGCAUGGGAGCGAACAGG
rnacentral:rRNA from 1 species